rnacentral:misc_RNA from 1 species
GGGGAGAAUACCUCAACCGAAUGAGAUGUUUCAGAUCAUUGAAAACCACAUGCGUUUAUACACAAAUCCUGGGCAAUAAAAGUCUACAGACAUGCUAGUCCUCAAGUAACAACAUUGCCUGAUUCACUAACAGUAGUAGAAGAGCAGAAACUGAACUAAUGAAGACCUUCAUUACAAACAGCAUUGCUGUCAAUGAAGUGUUGGAUGACCAAUCAGAGGCCGCCUUCUAUAAGUGUUAACCAAUCAGUAGUGAUGUCUUAUCUGAUGACUUUCAUGUCUUAUACGUCAAUGUACUACAUGUAUGUGUGAUAAAGACUCUUUGAACUAUUGAAAGACUGAAGAAAACUUUCAGAGAGAGAGAGAGAGAGAGAGAGAGAGAGAGAGAGAGAGAGAGAGAGAGAGAGAGAGAGAGAGAUUGUGUAUGAUUAAUUUAAUUAUAGAAAUCAUGUAGAAUAGAGACAAAGUGAGUUUUGAAUGGAAAUUUGGUAAAAUGUAAGUUGUGAAAUUUUAUUGUGACGUGUUGGUGUGAAGAGAUGAUGAAUUUAAAUGCAGUAAAUAAUGUGUCUUUCUAAUCAAUAUUUUAGAAAUAUUCAUUUUAAUGAACACAGAUCAAAUAAAGAAUUUUGGAAAGUUAUUGGACAAGACACAUUAUUCUGAAUUUCUUACUUGUGUUGUUAUGUAGGUCUUUCAUCAGUGUUUCUGUAACCAGUUCAUUUUGUAAUGAUUUCAUUCUUAGACCAUUUGAGCAAAUAGAGAGGGACAUCUAGGUCUUGACUUAGAUUAGAUUGACUCACUUCUCGUAUAACUACACAUAUAAUUUCGAAAUUAUUUUAAGAGAACCCAAUGGUUUAAUUGACAAUUAUUUUAUUCUUAUUUCCAUUAUUUUCUGUCCAACAUGAAUGCAAUGCAACUUGGAGAAAAUAGUGUAAUCUUGAUUCUUUUAAUAAUUAUAUAUAACUGCAUGUAUUGAAUUCUGAAAUUAUAAGAGAUAAAAACCUUUGCUAUUAAAGGUGCAUAACAAUAAUGGUAAUAAGGCUAUUGAAACAAUAAUUUUACAUUUAUGCCAGAUUUUAGAAUGUAAUGCAUGCAAGAGGUUGUAUUGAUGACUAUCUGAUACCAUAUUAACAUACAUGUAUGGCGAAUAUUCCGUAAAACCAGAAUAAUUUACAGACUUUCUGUGGAAUGUCAAGUUUUAUCCAACCCUGGCACCUUUUGAUUCUUUAGGAUUUGUGAUAACCAGAAACUCUGCAAUCUUUGAAAUAAAUGUGAUUUUGUUUUU